UGUUAAGGACAGGACUGUAGGACCUGUCUCCCAGAAAGACGACGAAAAGGACGAGACGGAUUAAAACACAGCAAGAGGUUUUUUUGCAGACCUUUUGGAAACACCUGACUCACCCUGGCUUUACCAUGAACCUGAAUAAUGGACAACAGCCGCUGCACAACAGACUCAAAGCAAUUAAAACCUUGAAACAAACACAGGAGCAGUUUAAAAAGCUGCAAUCAGCUGUGGACUUCUUUACGUGUGUGUGCAGAUAACUAGACCUGCACUGACAGAAUAAACACCUCCACUGUGGAUUCAAAAAUGUUUUAAUGGCCUCUAGUUUAUCCACAAAUUACCACAUGGAGACUUUGCUGUCCAUCACAAUGGUGUCACUUUACACCCACCUGUAUAUUUAGGUACUGAGGUGGUGGUUUAGUGAUGCUUGUUGAUGUUUCUUGAACCACUUAUCCAAAGGGAUUGUUUAGCUUUUCGUAACUCAGAAUUAAGUUAUGGGCCUAGCCCGCUCUUACUUUGCAUGAAACGGUGCCUAGUUGGUGUUUUUCUAAACAAGCACUUGUCAACAUAAGUUUGUUUUUCAAAAGGGUCAAGCCAAGGAAGGCCUGUUGUGGCAAAUAUGUUUGAAUCUUUAAACCAUUUCAGGUGGCUUAUUUUUGGACACUUGAAUGUGUUUUUGUAGAGGUGGUGUUAGGAAAAAGAUGUGUGAAAACAUAUUGUGAGUGUAUGAAUUAUUAGCUGUGAAUUUGCACCUUUGUGUCCCUAUCUUGGUGUUUCUGUUUGUCUCUGUGUGGGGGGGAUGGAGAGAGACUGGGAUAAGCUUGUCUAUGACUCAGUGUAACCUGGAUUGGUUUCCGCUCCAUGUAUGGUGAUACACACUGCAUUCCCACUCUCCUCCCUCUCCCGCUCUGCUUCUGUGUCUUACACUAAAGCACUCUCAGUAGUUACACAAAACAAUAUUCCCAUAAACUAAACAUGUGAAGCUUUUCUUUGUUAGAAUUAGAUGAACUAAGCUGGUGUGUUAUAAUGAAUAGCUUUUAAUUUAUUUGCUUUUUCCUCUUGCACAUUUGUAGAUAACAUGUAAAUCGUUUUGUAGUUGAGUUGGGAGAAAUGUCAAGUUUGUUAUGUACCCGAAAACAGCAGAUUUUCACCAUUGUGUUUACAGGAUUUGAUCUGGUAAAGGAUAGGUUCUUAAUUCUACUUAAAGUUAUACUCACAGGUCCUCAUGUACAUUGAAGGAGUUGCAUGUUGUAGUUAAGUUUGGUAAGGUUGGUACCAAAGGUUGGUAUGACCCUUGAACAGACUCUGCCUCUGUGGAAUAUUUACUCUAGACACUUGCAGCCAUAUUUCCAGAACUAAUUCAUAAAAUUUUCUUUGUGUUGCGAUAGCUACUUGCGUGCCAGCUGGCUGUGUGGAUGCCAGUCAGUCAGAACAGUUCCUGGAGAGUUUCUGUUUUCUCUCGGCUCUUCUGUUUACCCCCUUGACAUUUGGCUUAACAGACAAAAUGACACCAACACCCAUGCUAACUAGCAUAUUAGUAUAUCUUACUUGGCUAUGUCACUGUAAACAGUUCAGCCACAAUAAGGUUCCCUUCUUGCCUCCAACAAAGCUCUCAGCACAGACGCUGGACCUCUGGGGUGUCCAUGGUGUUUGGCACCAGGAUGUUGACAGCAGAUUAUUUGAGUGGGGCUUCCAUGGAUCUGGAUUUUUCUUGCAUGUCCUGCGGCUUCUUAAUUGGAUUUAGAUGUGGGAAAUUUGGAAACUUUGCCAUGCUCCUCGAGCUGUUAGAGAAGUUUUCUCAAUGUAAUAGGGAUGGGCAACCAUGUUAAGGUGGGUGUUAAUGUGUCAAAGUAACACUCACGUGGCUGACAGGAUCCAAAGUUUCCCUGGAUAGCAUUAUAAUCAGAUAUUUAGGUUUAUUCUUUUACCUUAGACCAACACUUUUUUUUCUGAAGAUAUAUUCGCACCUUUGACUCUCUCUUUGUAUCAACUUUUAAGGAAGUUAGAUAAAAGUGAACAAUGCAACUUUGAUAAUAAAUGAUGAUUGUGCCCUCCGUUAUAAAAUUUGUGGGUCAGAAUGUUUGGGCCAAAAAUGGACCAAAAAGAAAGAAAAUGCAGAAUUAUUAUGUUGCAAGUACAGUAUCUGCUGCAAUCCACUAGAAUGAAAACAUGAAUUUUUACAUCCUGGUGUGACCCACCACGUGAACAUCCAAAGUUCAUGUUUAUAGGUUAGAAAAUGUCCAGAGAAAGGUGAGCUUAAAUCAAAAAAAAACAAAAGGAGGGAAUUUCAUUUACAAGUCCAGCUUCCAAAUUUUAAUUUCAGCUUAGCCAUUUAUGAAAUGCUUUGCUGUUAAGGACAGGAGGAAGUGGCCAUUUAUUUGGUUAUAUAGAUAACAAGAUAUGAGUAUAAUUUUAAAGUAAACUAUAUUAAAAACAGUGAAUCUCUCCUUUAAUCCUGGCUGUGCUUUCCUCCAGUGAUUUUUAGUUUGCGUCACAUCACAUUUGUUUAAAAUGGAGCGAUUUUUGUUUUUAUGUUUACAUUUUAUUUAAUGGUAGAGUACUUUUUGCUUGUAAAGUUGUGACACACACACGCAAACACCUCACCUCACUCUCAGCCGCCUUCAUAACUCUGGGAUCUGUAGUCUUUUGGCACCGAGGUGUGACCAUGAGUGGGGAAACUUAAAUUGUAUUUGUUGCCUUGUUUUGGACACUUUUAUGUGAAUGUAUCUGUGUUGUGUUUGUGAUUAGAAUAAAAGGUUUGCUUUUAUUAAA